UACGGAGGGUGCUAGCGUUGUUCGGAAUCACUGGGCGUAAAGCGCGUGUAGGCGGCCCACUAAGUCUGAUGUGAAAGCCCGGGGCUCACCCCCGGAAGUGCAUUGGAAACUGGUGGACUCGAGUCCCGGAGAGGAGAGUGAAAUUCCUGGUGUAGCGGUGAAAUGCGUAGAUAUCAGGAGGAACACCGGUGGCGAAGGCGGCUCUCUGGACGGUGACUGACGCUGAGACGCGAAAGCGUGGGGAGCAAACAGG
rnacentral:rRNA from 1 species